rnacentral:lncRNA from 1 species
AGCAGAAGCGGUGGCGGAGUCCCUGCUCUCUCCUACAGAAAGCAUGCCGCGUGGCACUGCCGUUGCAGCUUCUGCUCCUGCUCUUUCUGCUGCUGCUGUUCCUGUUGCCAGCGGGCGAGGAGGAGCGCAGCUGCGCCCUGGCCAACAACUUCGCUCGCUCUUUUGCGCUCAUGCUGCGGUACAACGGCCCUCCGCCCACCUAGCCCACCGGCGGGCGCACAGGUGACCUUCUGCAGUCCCUCUGAACCUGGCUGCUGGGGGCACGAUAGCCAUUCAGACACCCAGAGCAGCCUUAGACCAAAUGUUGUAUCUGUUCCCAGAACAAACUUGCCUUUUCUACGAUGCUGCUUCUGUCUAUUUAUACUAAAUGUGCACUGUGUGUGGUUAGGGAAUAUGUACAGAAUUUUUAUAUGCCAUGUAACUUCAGCUGCAAUGUCUCUUUGUGCCUAGGGAAGCCCCUGGCAGUGUGUUUCUCUAGUAGGAUUUGUGGCACUUGUGCCAUAGCGUCCUGUCAUCCCUGGGGGACAGGAAAAAUCACAGGUUACAUCGAUGACAUCUGACCCCCAGAAAUCCAGAUGUUGCUGAAGAGCCUCUGA